UGCAGAAUCCCGUGAACCAUCGAGUCUUUGAACGCAAGUUGUGCCCGAAGCCAUUAGGCCGAGGGCACAUCUGCCUGGGCAUCAAGCAUCAUUUUGCACCCCAUCCCCGCACGCACCGCCAUGAGGUAGGGGGCGGACAAUGGCCCUCCGUGCGCCUCGGCGCGCGGCCGGCCCAAACGGGAUCCUCGGACGGCUGGCGUCGCAACAAGUAGUGGUUGAACAUCUCAAUCUCUCUCGUCGUCGUGCCGCCGUGCCAUCCCGUAUGGGAAUUGAUAACGACCUAACGGUGAGCGGCGCAAGCCGCGUCUCACCUUCGACCACGACCCCAGGUCAGGCGGGAUUACCCGUUGAGUUUAAGCAUAUCAAUAAGCGGAGGAAAAGAACCUUACAAGGAUUCCCCUAGUGAUGGCGAGCGAACCGGGAAAAGCCCAACUUGAGAAUCGGGUGGCCACACCGUCCGA
rnacentral:rRNA from 1 species